GAGUUUGAUCGUGGCUCAGGAUGAACGCUGGCGGCGUGCUUAACACAUGCAAGUCGAACGAAGCGCCUUAUUUGAUUUUCUUCGGAACUGAAGAUUUGGUGACUGAGUGGCGGACGGGUGAGUAACGCGUGGGUAACCUGCCCUGUACAGGGGGAUAACAAUCAGAAAUGACUGCUAAUACCGCAUAAGACCACAGCACCGCAUGGUGCAGGGGUAAAAACUCCGGUGGUACAGGAUGGACCCGCGUCUGAUUAGCUGGUUGGUGAGGUAACGGCUCACCAAGGCGACGAUCAGUAGCCGGCUUGAGAGAGUGAACGGCCACAUUGGGACUGAGACACGGCCCAAACUCCUACGGGAGGCAGCAGUGGGGAAUAUUGCACAGUGGGGGAAACCCUGAUGCAGCAACGCCGCGUGAGUGAAGAAGUAUUCGGUAUGUAAAGCUCUAUCAGCAGGGAAGAAAGUGACGGUACCUGACUAAGAAGCCCGGCUAACUACGUGCCAGCCGCCGCCGUAAC
rnacentral:rRNA from 1 species